UACAGAGGGUGCAAGCGUUGUUCGGAAUUACUGGGCGUAAAGCGUGCGUAGGUGGUUUGUUAAGUCUGAUGUGAAAGCCCUGGGCUCAACCUGGGAAUUGCAUUGGAUACUGGCAGGCUAGAGUGCGGUAGAGGAUGGCGGAAUUCCCGGUGUAGCAGUGAAAUGCGUAGAGAUCGGGAGGAACAUCUGUGGCGAAGGCGGCCAUCUGGACCAGCACUGACACUGAGGCACGAAAGCGUGGGGAGCAAACAGG
rnacentral:rRNA from 1 species